rnacentral:rRNA from 1 species
AUUGAACGCUGGCGGCAGGCCUAACACAUGCAAGUCGAACGAGUGGCGGACGGGUGAGUAAUGUCUGGGGAACUGCCCGAUGGAGGGGGAUAACUACUGGAAACGGUAGCUAAUACCGCAUACCAUCGGAUGUUCCCAUAUGGGAUUAGCUAGUAGGUGGGGUAACGGCUCACCUAGGCGACGAUCCCUAGCUGGUCUGAGAGGAUGACCAGCCACAAUGGAACCGAGAAACGGUCCAGAAUCCUACGGGAGGCAGCAGGGGGGAAUAUUGCACAAGGGGGGAAAGGCGGAUUGAGCCAUGCCGCGUGGAUGAAGAAGGGCGUCGGGUUGGAAAGUAAUUUCAGCGGGGAGGCGUUAACCGCAGAAGAAGCAACGGCUAACUCCGGGGCAGCAGCCGCGGUAAUUC